rnacentral:rRNA from 1 species
CAGCCGCCACGGGAAUACGGAGGAUCCAAGCGUUAUUCGGAAUUAUUGGGUUUAAAGGGUGCGUAGGCGGCAUGCUAAGUCAGGGGUGAAAGACGGUGGCUCAACCAUCGCAGUGCCUUUGAUACUGGUGUGCUUGAAUGUACAUGAGGUAGGCGGAAUGAGACAAGUAGCGGUGAAAUGCAUAGAUAUGUCUCAGAACACCAAUUGCGAAGGCAGCUUACUAAGGUAUGAUUGACGCUGAUGCACGAAAGCGUGGGGAUCAAACAGGAUUAGAUACCCCCGUAGUCCCUGUCUCUUAUAC